rnacentral:rRNA from 1 species
CAACUCGACUACAUGAAGCUGGAAUCGCUAGUAAUCGCGAAUCAGCAUGUCGCGGUGAAUACGUUCCCGGGUCUUGUACACACCGCCCGUCACACCAUGGGAGUUGGUAACGCCCGAAGCCAGUGACCCAACCGGAAACGGAGGGAGCUGUCGAAGGUGGGACCGAUAACUGGGGUGAAGUCGUAACAAGGUAAC